CCAAGGGCCAGGUGCAGCCAAGAAAGACAGAUGGGUUCAGAGCACAUUUCCAGUUACAGGGAACAGAGCACAGGCCUCCAAGUGGCCACAGAGCAGCAUGCGAAUUGCAGUGAUGGGUAGAGUAAAACCUCUGCGGGGAGCACAGUAUUCCCGGCAAACACAGGGAACUACAGGCCCCAGGCUGUAGAAUACACCCAAGCAUCAGGCACUUGUCUGGUAAACAGUGUGUAAGAUCAGUUACCUUGAGAGGGCCCUCGGGGCUCCAGAUGUGUGGUUUGUGUGGGACAUGGCUACCACUCAUUAUCUUCGGAGGAAAGCAGGGCUCGGGGCUGGCACACAAUGUACAGAUGCACACAGGCCACCCAGAAAGUCACUGUGUACAAACAUCACUUUGUUCAACGUGGAUUUUGUUUUUAUGGAAGCCAAAUGCAGACCCUGACAUUUACAAACAGCCUU